GCCACCUCCUGGGGUUUUAUUUUAUUUUUUUACGCAAUAUUUGGAUAUUUGCUUUGAUUUGUGUUGUGGUUGCUACUUUUGCCGAGGAUGAUUUGGCUACGGAUGACAUACGCCAAAUGAGUAGGGCCAUUCACAAUGGUGAUUCAGGGAUGAUCUUUCGACGGCCAAAGGGUGGCAAAUAGUUGACAUGGCGAAAACAGGGAUGUUCACUGCCAGUUGAGAGAAUCGAGGCGUGGGCAAGAACGCGUGGUUAAUGUUCUUUCCCAGCGGAACUCACAAGCUGACAACAUCUCUGACAAGUGAUUUUUAAGUCAACCUCAGCCACAGCACAAAGUGUUAAAUAAAAAGAAAGAAAUUAUAACAUUUUCUAAGCUUUGUAAUUUUUUUUUGUGUUUUGUGUGAAUAAAGAGAUAGGCUCUUUCAAUAUAUGCAUGCGCCCUCUGAGGGAUAGACUGGGACCCACGUGUUGCCCUCGUUAUAUGCUGCCGACCGAGAGGUGAGGUUAGGUGUUGAAAAUCACAAGUUAAGAGAGCACAUGGUGUCUACGCUAGGAAAGGAGAAGCUAUAAAAAGGUAAAGGCGUUGAAACCUGGCAUAAGAUUAGGCGCAUUCAAAGUCUUACAAUAGCGUCAAAAAGUCUACAUAUACUUACCUUUAUGCUUAAUUUGGUCCGAAAUUCGUUUCAUGUGUUGUCCAUAGUUUUCUGUUUUGACACUUGUCAGAAAAUAGGUACCUUCAAGUAUUAUAUUACACUACAAAUACUCCGAAGGUACCACAUAAAUGGUAGCUGUAUUAAAAAAAAAAAAAAAAAAAAAAAGAACCGGCACAACAAUAUAAAUUAAGCUAACAUGUACUAAAAGAGAAAAAUAACACCAAGAGAAGAAAAAAAAUAGACUUACGAAUAUAUCACAGACUGUUUAUUGCACUGAAAGAAAAUAUUGCAUAAGAAAUAUAUUGCACUGACAGAAAAUAUUACAUAAGAAAUAUAUUGCACUGACAGAAAAUAUUGCAUAAGAAA